rnacentral:lncRNA from 1 species
AAGAAAUUACUGUUCCUUGUCGACUUUUGUAAGGUGUUCACUGAAAGCAGUUAUAACAUUCCCAUUAACUUUUUUUUUUUUUUUUCUUUGCAGAAAGAGGCCAUUGCUGAAUGCUUUAGACAACCCUAAUUGCAAAACCACAGGAGAAGCUUGACAGAUAACCAGCCACUGAAAAUGUUUGAGGAGCAGAAAUGCCUUCUUCAUUUGCAUUUCUGGUUUCCACAAAAAUUGUGUAGCUUCACAGUGACCAAGGCAGGUCAUAUAAGAGCUUAGUUAUCUAUUUUGCACACGCAGUUAUCCGUGCCAUUGUCACACCUGCUCAGCCUUCACAUCAGUCACUCUGUACAGUUUAGUCAAGCAGUCAAAUGGCUAAAGUUCUCAAAGUCCCCGUUCCAUAUAAUUUCCAUUCCUGCCAGGUGAGAAUGACCAUUAACUGGCUCAUAUUCCAGUUUUGCUUUAUUGAGCUGAACUCUGUUUAUAUUUGUCUUUGAAGUAACAUUUCUGGACAGUGAGAGAAGCUAGACUGACAGCCCUGAAGCCUGCUUUCUGUGAGCCUGUGGUCUCUUUGUCCGUGCCCACCUGUGGCCUAACAGGCCCCAAAUCUGUUGUGUGGAAGUUGCUGCUGCUCUGCUCGGGAAAGAAGGACGCAGUAACUCCAGCACCUCCUCUUCGGUGUGCAGAACCUGAGUAUUUGUGCUUGCUCUUAGCCUGUUUUAAAUGGAGUUGGUAGGAGGAUCUGUGUACAACGUGCCUGCUGACAGCCGUCCCAGGGCUGGAGUCUGCUCUGCAGCUCACUGGAGUGGAAUCGUCUCCCUUACCCUGGAGGAGGGACUCACAAAGGAGUCAUUACCGUCAUGAUGCCUAAUUUGUGGGUGUUUUGCUGUCUGGUGGGAUUCACAACACUGAAUUAGGCAAUUGCAUUCUCCGUGCAGCGUGUGGAAAAAGCAAAACACAUGAUCUGAUUGGCUUCAAAGGGUGAGGAGAAGUUUAGGGCCUCUGCCGCUCUGAGGAGGGGAGGUACCCAUUUGGGGGAUGUCACGCUGUGGU